CCCUGACAGUCGCAUGGUGCGGCUGACACUUGCCACGACAGGAGAAAUGACAUG
rnacentral:ncRNA from 1 species